CUUUCAGGAGGAAGGCAUGAACUUAAUGACUAGAGAAGCAAUGCAUGAAUGGGAGGUACAAACUGCACUACGGAUAAGUCGGUCUUGGGAAGAGAGUUUGAACCUGAGUGACAGUAAUUUAGAGAAACCAUCUUCAAAGAGCAUCGAUUUAAUUCCAGUAUCCCCAGCAGCUCCUCCCACCCAGGGGAUUGGGAAGG
rnacentral:lncRNA from 1 species